AAGACUAUACUUUCAGGGAUCAUUUCUAUAGUUUCUGACUUGAGAAAUGUGUUUCUAGAGUGUAUGGUCUCGCUGACCACGAUGAUGAGUUAUGAUAUUCCCUUUUGAGCAUGAAGCUGACAGACAACAUCGUUCUGUUGUGUGUUUUCUGUCAUUGAUGAUUGUUCAGAACAUUGAUGAAGAGAAUAUGCACUGAGUGGUU
ensembl:snoRNA ACEA small nucleolar RNA U3